rnacentral:lncRNA from 1 species
CAAUUGAUAAUAAGUAAAAUAGAAUUUAAGCAAAUGUAUUUGAUAAGUAUAAGAACUUGUAAAAUAGUUUGAAGCAAAACAGUUUGAUAAACAAUUUGAACAAUAAGGAAAUCACUGGUUUUGUAGUUAUUAAUCACAUGUGAUUGAUGUAAUAACUAUAAGUACUUGACUUGUAUUCCCCCCAUAAAGCAUUUAAAAACAUUUAAAUCAUUGGUUAAGGGGUAUGAACUCACCUGUAGUGAGUGGUACAGAUGAACUGAAGAUGAGGAUCACUAGGUAACAAGUGAAGUCUUGAACACACUUUAUAACCCUAGUUAACAUAUAAUACCACAUAUAUGUAUCCAAUUAGUCUUAAACUACUAAUUGAUAAUGUUAAGACAUCCUAGAACAUAAUAAACACUUUAUAUAAGUGUUAUAAGCCCUAAGGAUUGCAUCUAAGUUGUUGUGGGACAAGGCUAGUGAGUUUAGGGUUCCAAGGGACCUCAUACUUGAGUUUACUCUCCAUAUAACCCCACACANUUCCAAAGGACCCUAUACUUGAGUUUACUCUACAUAUAACCUCACACAUGGAGUUUACGGUUGUAAACUCUUGAGUUUACGGCCGUAAACUCCCAAGCUUGGUGGUAUUUUUUGUUUUGAAGUUCUAAAUGAUCCCUAGGAUUAUUCCAACUUGGUGGUUUAAUUCUUGGAGGGUUUAAAGCAUAGAAACACCCCUUUGAGGAGUUUACGGCCCUAAGGCCAUUUCCUUUAGAGUUUGCGGCCGUAAACUCUUAAGGAAAGGUGUUUUUGAUGCUUUCAAGUCUCUUUCAUAUGUAGGAUAGGUUCUAUACAUUUAUCUAACGCUAAUGAAGGCCUUAGGCACACAUUGGUGCCCUUCUUUCAUGUUUGCGGCCCAAGAGCCUUUUCCCUUAGAUAUUACGGCCGUAAUCUCUCUUUGGGAAGGUUUUAUGAUGUUUUAAGGUCCCUCUAAUAAUUAGGAGUAAGCCUAGGUGAUUGUCCAAAGCCUUAGGACUAUUAAAAACACCUUUUGGUCCUUGUUUUUGGAGUUCACGGUCCAAGAACUCCUUGGGCCGUGAACACCUAAACUUGGGUGUUUCUUUGAUGUUUUCUUGUCUUAAAUACACUUACCUAAAAGCCUAAGGUCGUUAUUUAACAUGUGGAAGGGACUAGGCAUCAUAUAAGCCUCAUAUAGGAGUUUACUCCCCAAGAUGUUCUUGGGCGGUAAACUCGCGAAUCUUGCUCUUUUGCUAUGUAAUCGAUGUUAUUAAACAUGUUAUAAGACAUAUAAUACAACUAGAGAAGGGUACUUACGAUUUGGGAUGAAAACCCGAAGAUCCGUGAGAGAGAAUUGGCUUUUCUCUAGUUGGAAUUGUCAAUAAUGAAUGAAUAUGGCUCAAAAUUCUAUAUAUAGUCCUUAGAUUUUUGGCAGAAAAUAUUUUAUUCCUGUAAUGAACUCUAAUGUAAUAGCGUUUUGGAAUAACAGUGUUGCACAAAACCUUAGUGCAUCCACUCUCUUGAUAUCUCCUUAAGUGUAAAUCCAGAAAUACUCAAAAUUAUACAGAAAAGUUUGAAAAUUUACUGUGACUGUUAUAACUUCUAUUGACCUGAUAAACUUCGUACAGAAUGGAAAUUUCGGAUUGUCACAUCAUCCCCCAUUAGAAGGAAUUUUAUCCCGAAAUUAGAAUUUAAGCAAAUAAGAAGUUACAAUAACUAAACGAAAAGAUGAGGAUAUUUUAGCUUCAUCUGAUCCUGUCAUUCCCAAGUGAAUUCAGGUCCUCGUUUGGCGUUCCAGCAAACCUUCACUAUUGGGAUACGACUUUGUUUCGUUUGCUUUGUCUCUCGGUCUAUGAUCUCCACUGGUUCCUCCACGAAGUUGAGGCUCUUGUUGAUCUCGAUUUCGUCGAGUGGAAUAACAAGAGUCUCGUCGGACAGACACUUUUUCAAGUUCGAUACGUGGAAGGUAGGAUGUAUGUUACUGAGUUCGCAAGGCAAGUUAAGUUUGUAAGCUACAGGGCCGAUUCUUGCGAGAAUCUCAAAAGGCCCAAUGUACCUUGGAUUUAGCUUUCCAUGCUUUCCGAAGCGUAUCAAGCCCUUCCAAGGUAAGACCUUCAAUAGAACGCGGUUGCCCACCUGGAAUUCCAACGGUUUCCUACGUUUAUCAGCGUAGCUUUUCUGUCGGUCUCUGGAGGCUUUUAAUCGUUCACGGAUCUGAACGAUCUUCUCCGUCGUUUCCCGUAUGAUUUCCGGACCUGUGAGAGUGCUUUCAGGAACUUGUCCUUUAGCUAACUGGGUAAUACCCACCUCAGCCCAGCACAGAGGGGAUCUGCACUUUCGGCCAUAGAGGGCAUCGAAUGGAGCAGCCUUUAUGCUCGUGUGAUAACUGUUGUUAUAGGAAAAUUCGACAAGGGGUAAGUGAGUAUCCCAUGCCUUCCCGAAGUCGAUCACACAGGCUCACAACAUAUCUUCCAAGGUUUGGAUUGUUCUCUCACUCUGCCCGUCGGUCUGUGGAUGGUAGGUUGUGCUCAUGUCCAGCCUAGUUCCUAAGGAACUUUGUAAUGACUGCCAGAACCUCGAAGUGAAUCUACUAUCUCGGUCUGAGAUAAUAGAUAAAGGAACACCGUGCAGUCUUACAAUCUCCUUAAUGUAUGUCCUUGUAAGCUUCUCCAUCUUGUCUGUUUCUUUGAUCGGUAGGAAGUGUGCAGACUUGGUCAGUCUAUCGAUGAUGACCCAUAUGGAAUCAAGUCCACCCGUCUUCUUGGGCAACUUGGUUAUGAAGUCCAUAGUGAUCUGCUCCCACUUCCAUUCUGGUAUCUCUAGUUGUCGUAAGAGACUGGAGGGUUUCUGGUAUUCGACCUUGACCUUUGCACAAGUAAGACAUUUACUCACGAAGGUAGCAAUCUCUGCUUUCAUGUUAGGCCACCAGUAUAACUUUUUGAGGUCCAGAUACAUCUUAUCUGACCCCGGGUGCACGUAAUAACGAGUGUUGUGCGCCUCGUUCAUGACUAAGUUUCUGAAACCACCUAGGUUCGGGGUCCAGAUCCGGUCCAUGAAAUAGUAAGCUUCGUCACCCUUAACCUCUAAGUUCUUAUCCAUCCCUCUUAGGGAUUCACCCGUCACAUUUGCAGGCUUCAAAGCGUCAAGCUGAGCUGCCUUAAUUUGUGUGGACAAGUGUGAAUCGAUAGUCAUAGUCAAAGAUUUGACUCUACGACCAGAAUAUUCCUUCCAACUCAGGGCGUCAGCUACUACGUUGGAUUUACCCAGAUGAUAACGAAUUUUGCAUUCGUAAUCACUGAGUAGCUUGACCCACCGUCAUUGUCUCAUGUUGAGCUCUUUCUGGUCAAAUAUGUGUUGUAAGCUCUUGUGGUCUGUAAAGAUAGUGCUUUUCGUUCCGUACAAGUAAUGUCUCCAGAUUUUCAAAGCAAAUACAACUGCUCCUAGCUCAAGAUCGUGGGUUGUGUAGUUGACUUCAUGUGUCUUUAGAUGUCUCGAGGCAUAGGCGAUGACCUUUCCUCGCUGCAUCAGAACACAUCAGAGCCCUUGAUUCGAUACAUCGCAAUAGACUACGAAGUCUUCUAUUCCUUCGGGAAGGGAUAGUAUUGGCGCGGUGCACAAGUAUCGUUUAAGCGUUUGGAACGCUCUCUCCUGCUUCUCUUCCCAGUCAAAGGCCACGCCCUUCUGGGUCAGGGUUGUAAGAGGUUUCGCUAUGCAGGAGAAGUUCUGAAUGAACCUAUGAUAGUAGCCAGCGAGGCCUAGAAAUUGAUGAAUUUCCGUAGGCGUCUUCGGUGCUGACCAGUUCUCAAUGGCCUUAAUCUUGGAAGGGUCCACGUGUAUUCCCUCUUCGCUAACCACGUGCCCUAAGAAUUCGACUCGUCGAAUCCAAAAUUCGCAUUUCGAGAACUUCACGUAGAGCUUCUCUAAUCGUAAAGUUUCGAGGACUUGUCGCAGAUGUUGACUAUGCUCCUCCUUACUACGAGAGUAGAUAAGUAUGUCAUCAAUGAAAACGAUGACGAAUUGAUCCAAUUAAGGACGGCACACCCGAUUCAUUAAGUCCAUGAAUACCACGGGCGCGUUUGUUAAUCCGAAUAGCAUCACUACGAAUUCAUAGUGCCCAUAACGAGUUCGGAAGGCUGUCUUCGGAACAUCCUCCCCUAGUACUCGUAAUUGGUGAUAUCCGGAUCUUAAGUCAAUUUUCGAAAAGAAGCUCGCCCCUUGCAGUUGGUCAAACAAAUCGUUGAUCCGUGGUAAUGGAUAACGAUUUUUGACCGUUAGUUUGUUGAGCUCCCUGUAGUCGAUGCACAUGCGAAACGAUCCAUCUUUCUUCUUGACAAACAAGACUGGAGCUCCUCAGGGUGAGAAGCUUGGUCUUAUAAAGCCCUUGCUGAGCAGUUCGUUAAGUUGACUGGACAGUUCUUGCAUCUCUGCAGGCGCUAGACGAUAGGGCGAUUUGGCUACUGGGGUAGCCCCUGGAACUAAGUCGAUCCGGAACUCGACUUAACAUUGCGGAGGUAAUCCUGGAAGUUCUUCUGGAAAUAUGUCGGGAAAUUUGCGUACUAUUGGAAUGUUCUGAAUGUCCUUCGUUUCUUGGCUCACAUCGACCACAUGAGCAAGGAAUGAAUGACAUUCCUUUCGCAAGAAUUUCUGAGCCUUGAUGCUCGAGAUGAUACGAAGGUUUGUGCCGGGUUUGUCGCCAUAAACUACUAAGGUUUCGCCAGAUAGCAGAUUAAGGCGAACAGCCUUCUCGUAACACAUGAUAUCGGCACGAUGAAGGUACAACCAAUCCAUGCCGAUAAUGACGUCGAAACUUUUAAUUGAGACCGGCAUAAGAUCGAUAGAGAAUGAAUGGUUAUCUAAAUUUAGGGUACACCCUAUGAAUAUACUGUUAGUGCUCUCUAUCUUCCCAUUAACCAUUUCUACAUUGAACGGUUCAUUAAGUGCUCGUGAUUUCUGCCUAAGUAAAUGAGCAAUUUUUUGGUUCACGAAACUCCUCUCCGCUCCACUAUCAAAUAGAAUGCAUGUAUAAGAGUUAUCGAGGAGGAACGUACCAGUGACCACUGUAGGGUCCGCAACCGCUUCCUCUUGUCCUAUGGCCAAAACUCUUUCCACUCCACCGGCAAACCCUACCUUCGGGCAGUUUCUUUUGAAGUGGCCUACUUCGCCACAUCCGUAGCAAGUUUGGCCUGCUCCAGCACCGGGGGAUUGGUUAAUUGGCUUCGCCGGAGCUUUAUAGAAACAGGCUGUGUGCCCCUUUUCGUUGCAGUUCAGACACUGCAUCUCCCGGCAUGCGCCGACUUGAUGGAAGUUGCAUUUGUUGCACCUAGGCAAACUUCCAGAGUACUGCUUUACCGGAGCAGUAGCGGCAGGGGCUAUCGCAACAUGUACUGCCACGACCUGCCUUUUUUUGGCAGCCUUAGCCUUCUUCUUGUCAUCCCAGAACUUCCGCUUGGGGUCAGCGGUCCUUUCAGGUUCUGAGACGGCCAGGGUAGNCCUCAUGGUCUAUGAGCCGUUGUGCCAAUCGCUUGGCACUAUCAAAUGUAGCGGGGUGUGAUGCCAAAACAUUUCCCUGGUAUGGGGGCACCAGUCCCCAUAUGUAUCUUUCAAUCUUCUUUCCCUCUGAAGGAAUCAUGUUGGGACAGAGGGCCACCAGUUCACAGAAUCUGGCGGUGUAGGCGACUACGUUGGAGCCCUUCAUGGUUAGGCUCCAUAGUUCUUCCUCCAGCUUUUGGAUCUCGCCCCUCGGGCAAUUUUCCUCAAUCAUGAGGUCUUUCAAGGUUUCCCAGCCCAUCGCAUUAGCCACUAUAAGAGUUAGUGACUUAACAUGGCCGUUACACCAUGUUAGGGCUUUUGUUUCAAAGGUGCAAGCAACAUACUUCACCUUGCUCUCCUCGGGACAAGAGCAGAUUUCGAAACCAAUUCAGUUUUCUCAAACCAUUGUGAGAGGGCAAUGACUCCGCCAGUCCCUUUGAAGGACAAUGGCUUGCAGUUCGUGAAGUCCUUAUAGGAGCACUCUUUCGAGCGCACAGGAGCUUCAACCUGAACCGACUGAACAGGAGUUCCUCCUCCAGUAGAACCACAUGAAUGAUAUUGGGCCAUGGCGGAAGCCACAGCCGCGGCUACGGUAGCAUUUAGAGCUGUCGUGUCGAAUUGAGGAGUAGGUGGUUGUGGAGGUGGAGGAGGUGGUGUUUCGUUAUUUGGGUUUCUCCUUGGAUUUCUGCGAGGCAGCAUCUUUGAUCUAUAAGUUUAUGAAGAUGAAAGAAUUGAUAAGAAUUUUAAGGAAGAAUUGAUGAGAAAGACUCAUGAACUAACUCCCCAUAGCCCAACUAUAUAAUUGAUCGAAGAUCAAAACCAAUAGAUGAUUAUAUUUAGAUAUUGAUUCCCAUAUGAUUAGGUACCUGUCAAUAUUACUGGUAUUACUGCUGUAAAGAGUUCGGGAAAAACAGCCUACAGUAAUAGGCCUUACAUCAACCAAAAUGGGAAAAUUUUGACAGAAUUACAACCUAACCAAGACCUAACAGGCCUAUGAUUUACAAGAUAGGAAAAUAGACCAAAGUUUUACAUAACUAGGUUAUAUCCAAAAAGAGAAGUUGAUAAGGGUCUAUCGGCGACGAGAACUGCCAGAGUGAGUCCUUGAUCCUGACAGAAGGUGUUCUAGGUCCCUCAUAUGCCUAUCAGCCCUUUCUUGCUGAGCUUGAAGUUCUCUGACUUCAGCUCGUGUUUCAGUGAGUUCCCUCUGAAGAGCUGCAUUAUGGACUAGUGUCCUUUCAUGAGCAGACUCUAGUUGGCGAAUGCGGACAGUGUUAACACAUGUUUUGGCAUCAAUCUCCAAGAUUCGAUUGACAGAUGAUUGACCCAGUAUCGUGUUCCAAGAAAUCCUACGAACCAUGAUGGGUAAGACUCUGUCAGCAGAUCCUCCAUUAGUAAGGUUGUAUAAACUUAUGUCCCCAUUGUAGGGAAUGGCUUGACCUUGUUCAUGGCUCCAUGUAUCCAAGUUUGUUGCCCACAGAGGUGUGGGUCCUUGAAAUACUGGUCGGGGGUUGUUAUUUGGAGCUUGACCUACUUGAGGUAGGUUAUUAACUUCGGGAUCAGAGUCAGAUCCAUCCGAGAAGCCUUCUGCUUGAUGAUCAUCCAAAGGGAUUUGAUGCUCAUCAUCGGACUCUGCCUCCAGCCAUCCAGCAUUUCCGUUGGGUGGAAAGUACGGGUCGCCAUGAUGAAAUCCAACCAUUAAAAUCUACUCGAGAAAAGGGAUAUAAGAAAUAGCUAAUUUAGACGAACUAGCUAAGAUAAUUACAGUAAGACCAAAUACCCCUAUGGUAUUUCUUUAUGGUUGUGUUGGUAAGUUUUUAGACUUGUUGCCACAUCACAACCAUUCUUGGGCAUAUACUAAUCACUCCUCGGACCAGCAUAGUUGAUUAGGCUAUGCCAUUCCCAAGACUGAUCAUAUAUCCCCAGGCUUACUUGUGAUAUUCAACAAUCGUAAUACUUUUGUUCUUGCCAUUGGGACACUGAUUUUAGUAUGAAUGCAGGCACGUAUACUUAAUUAAAUAUUUUAUUAUUUAAAAGUAUAACUCUUGGACAGAGUCUUUUAAUCCCUAUGUAUUUAUAGUUAGUAUAUCUUUUAUGGGUUGAUAUACUCAAUUCACUAUAAACAAUACUCUGAUACCAAUCUGUCACACCCCAAAACCAAGAACGGCGGAAACGUUCAGGGGCGGAGGACAUCAUGUACAGUAUCAAAAACAAUGAAUAAUAGUAAACAAGCAACAACAUCAUCCAUUGCAUUAAUAAUAUAAUUUCAUAAAUGUGUGUUCUAUCAAAGUUAUAGACACCAAAAAUAUACAUAUCAAAAUAAAAGAUGAGUCUUGAACGAACUCCAUCUUCUCAAAAACCUGGCACCUGUACCUGUCUAGUGGUGACCUGAGAAUACAAGUUAUUUUGAAAGCGAGUAUCAGCUUAAUGCUGGUGAGAUCAUAAGUAUAUUAAUGUCUGAUUUUGUAUGAAAACGUUAGUAAAAUGUUUCUGUAAGAUGCUUUUGUAUAAUGUUUGAACACUCCUAGAAAACCCUAUGUUUCCUACUAACUGUAGCCUUCUACCAAGGCAUCUCGUGUCUGUGUGUAUGUCUCUUAUUAGAGUGUGUGUUUUUCAAAUUCUUACUAUCAUUAACCAAAAAUAUAGUUUCUACAUUACCAUGCAUCGUGUGAAUAUUCACGAAGUGAAUGUAGUGGGAAAAUUNAAAAUGAGAUAGUACUAUGGUGUAGUGUCGUACUACAACCGUACUAAUUACCUUAAGUCUAGGGUAAUCUUUAUAAGUACUGUAGUAUUUGUAAUAAGUGACUACCUUUGUACUCCUAUUGCCUUAUUUGAGGGAUAAGGCCUAAUGUGAUGACUAGAUCCCAAGCUAAACGCUCCCCUGUCAAAGGGAUUUUGGGACCUUUACAUGACGCCUGCCUGUAUGCAAGCCGUGAACAUCCACAUUACUAUGAUCAUGUAUACCCGAUAUAACUACCACAAUGCGUUAUGAUUCAUCGGUAUAGUUAGAUCCUGAACUUGUUCUAUGCUAUAGCACCUAGUGUUGUCUGUCCUAUCAAAGUAUAUGUAACCGCACUCAUAUAAACGAAUAUAUGUAAACGUACUCAUGUAAGCGUAAUCAUGUAACACAUAUCUAUGUAAUAGUAUAGUAAUGUACUGUAAUGAUCUGCAUGUGCUAGCUGUAACGAAUGUUCUCUCUCUAUCUAGCAAGUAUUGACUCAUGAAUGAACUGACUCAUUGUAUGUUUCAUUGUUCUAGUAAUAAUAGUCUCCUCUUGUGCUACCCAUAUGGUAACUUACUGGUGAUGUACUGGUACGUAUGAACAUGGGAGUAUACCCUUGCUACCCAAGGGUACCGAAUGAACUGGAAGGACUUUUUAUGACUAUAUAUGUACACAUGAUAUAUAACUAAUAUUUAAACGACCUUCGGACGGGUACCCGAUAUCCCACCAGACCACAUCUCAAGCGUGAAAAGGAAAUAGGGCGGGCAGGCCUUCCUAAGCUUUUUAAACACUGCUUAUAUAACUAUACAUAUCUAUACAUGCAAUUGAUAAUAAGUAAAACAGAAUUUAAGCAAAUGUAUUUGAUAAGUAUAAGAACUUGUAAAAUAGUUUGAAGCAAAACAGUUUGAUAAACAAUCUGAACAAUAAGGAAAUCACUGGUUUUGUAGUUAUUAAUCACAUGUGAUUGAUGUAAUAACUAUAAGUACUUGACUUGUAUUCCCCCUCAUAAAGCAUUUAAAAACAUUUAAAUCAUUGGUUAAGGGGUAUAAACUCACCUGUAGAUGGUGGUUUUGAUGAACUGGACGGUGUAGGAUUGUUAGGUGUCAAGUGAGG